rnacentral:misc_RNA from 1 species
GCCAAGUAGACUAUGAGAAAGUUUCAAAUACAGGAUCUUUGUGCCGAUGUCAAAGUCUUGUUCAGUAGAAGAUACUGCCUAUGCCACUUUCAAGAAUGUGUUGAAAUAUUAGAGUGUUCCAAAGAGCAUUGUAAGUAAUCGAGACGGCUGAUUUGUGCGAUCAUUUUGGUCAGAGUUGUUCCGUCUUUUGGGAACUAGAUUAGAUGUCUCAAUGAGUUUCCAUCCACAAACAGACACCCAGACCAAGAGAUAUAGUGGGUUGCUCAAGGAAUACUUGCGGCAUUUUGUCAAUGCCAGUAAGAAGAAUUGGGCUUCAUUACUUAAUGUGACACAAUUUUAUUUUAAUUCUUUAAAGAGUACGGCUACUAAUAGGAGUCCUUUUGAGAUUAUUACAGGUCAACAGCCUUUGGCAUUUCAUACUCUGGAUGGUCCUUACACUGACAAAAAUCCCAAAACAUAACACUUCACAAAUGAGUGAAGGCAAAAUAUA